GGAUGUGAGGGCAAUCUGGCUGCAAUACCGGAUCACCAGGGUUGAUUCGGCUGAUCUGGCUGGCUAGGUCGGUGUCCCCUUCCUCCCUCACAGCUCCACGUGUGGCCCUCCCGAAGCUGCACACUUGGUCGAAAAGGACAACCUUCCCAGACAGAGAAGGACCGUUUUUCCGUCAAGGAUAUACGAGUAGCUGCGCUCCCCUGCUAGAACCUCCAAACAAGCUCUCAAAAAGGACACAUUAAGUUUAAGAACCACUAGUGAGAGGCAGACAUAUAUAGAUGGAAUUGAAUACAAGGGAACCUAU
rnacentral:snRNA from 1 species